AAAAAGGGGCUAUUGUUACAAUUUUUUGAGACUAAAAUUUCCAGUCACAUAUUUGUGACAUAAUAGAAACUAUUUUGUUACUUAUAUUUUACGUUACAAAAAAGUAGCUUCUUCGUCACAAUAUCGUGACUGUUUGUUUUGUAACAAAAUGUUGUCACAAUUAGUGACAUAUAUAAGACGAAAAUAAACGUAAUAAUUGUCGUGACAAAAUGGUGACUACGUUUACUAUUACCAAUAUGACGAAUAUGUGACUGUAUCUUGUGUCGUCGUUUAUGACGAUAGAAAAAUUAAAUGGUUGUCACGAAUUCCUACGAAACAAUGACAAAAAAAAUGUUGUAAGUUGUGACUUAAAAAUAUAGCAAAUACGUUACAAUAGCUGGUUUCGCUACACUAUGCAAGUGGCUCGUUGGAUCUCAUCUUGUUCAAGAUUUCAAUGAUAAAGUUAGGAAUCAUUAAAUUAGUAUAUUAUCUCAUUACUCGUGAUUGUGAUUGUAUACUUUACCAUUUAGUUUUCUUCUUCUCUGUAUUUAAACAUGAUAUGCACAUAUGAUAACAUUGCAAUGCAACAUAGCGAUGAUAAUUCGGAUGUUUCUACUGAUGUACUACAUGUCGAGACAUUAGUCAAUCAAAAUGGUCAAACUAAAAAUCUCGAAGAUGUAAAAGAAGAAGAAGCGGAAUUAAGAUCAGAUGCUGAUGAUGAAAAUAAUGAUUAUGAGUUAACAGAUGAAGAAUCUAACUAAAUUUGGUGUUAUAGUUUUAUAUUUUAUAUGAUUAUGGCGUUGGUUUUGGAACUAAAUUUAAACUAUUUUAUUUAUUUAAUCUUUGAUGUCUUUUAAGUUUUGAGAUGGUUUAUAUAACCGAAAGGCAGCUUGCAUUGUUCAUUUACUUUUUUUCUUUCGACUGACCCUUUUUAGAUCGGAACGAAGAAGAAAUGAAGAAUCAAUCCAAAUCUCGACCAGAGACUAAUAGAGGAAGAGAUCGAAUUUACUUCUUGAUUUCUUCUUAGAUUGGCACGUAAAGCAGGUUCAGUGUCGGAGAUCAAACCAUGAAUUCCGAAGCCAGACACUUCACUGUGGGACUCUUCGUUUUGGUUCAAAUCAGGCGUUCUUCUGUGGAGAAGAUUGGCAUGCAGCAGCUUCAGUCUUCUUUGAUUGGGACUGCUCGUCUGGGUGGUUCUUCAGCUUUCAUUGGCAAAGUGAAAAGAUAAAAACCAUUGUUUCCCUUUUUGGAUUUUGAACUAUCUGUGAAUGUGUUUUUUUUUUGUAACUGAGGCUAACUAUCUACGCUUGAUUUGGAUUUGAUUAAAAAGGUUAACUAUAAAAACAUUUUUAGCUGUUACUUGAAACAUUUUACUUUUAUGAAAUCAUCAUUUUGAUCUUGUGGCAGGCGAAGAUAUUACAUUACGGUUCGAUAAGUCUUAUCACAGUGCAAGUCAGCUCACAUAGCUGCAGCAAAGACUGCUAAGGAUGUUGGUGCGAUCCUUUCAUAUGACCCUCCUAACCUUAGGAUCCCCUUGUGGCCUUGUGCAGACAACACUAGGGAUGAAAUCUUCAGAACUUGGGAUACUGCUGAUAUCAUUAAGAUUUGUGAAGAGGAGAUUGAGUUUCUAACAAAAGGAGAAGAUUAUGUCAAUCUUGGUUUGUUUGCUUCAGGAAUAUAUAAAAGCUAUGAUUUCAUCUGUGAGGCGGAAAGGGGGACCUUAUACUAAUCAAGGUGAUGAUCUCUCCCAUGGGAAAAGACUCGAAGAAGUUAUAUGGCGUCUGUUGCAGAUUCUGAACGAAUUGCUUUUAUCUUGUGCCUGGUCAACGCCGUUGAAUAGACUAGAUAGAUGCGUCCACCAAUGAUGUUAGGCGGUCGCUUGUUUGGAAGAUCAUCUAUACAAUCUGUUGGUCUCCAAAGACAGAGGGAAGGAGUUGCUGCAAAUGCCCAACCACGUGAACAAAGGGAAGAAUUCGUACCUGUUGAACGAGAUUCUCGACUCUCGAGUGCUUCAUCCAGAAAGAAUGGAGCUAAAUGUAUCCGUACAGGUUCAAGAACAACACUGAAAUAUCAACAGCCACAGAUCAGGCUCACGUUCCUAUGCUAAAGUUCAAGAUAAUCUGGUGGCAAACAACGAAGACUCUUCCUUCAUUGCUGUGAUGAAGAAAACCCACCAGAAAUCUGAUGGAACAUAUGUUGAUGAAAGAGCAUGCUUAAUUGCAGAAAAAUAUGAUGCAUAUGUGCAAGAAAGAUUGUCACUGGUUGAGCCUUCUAAUGGAGAGGUUUUGACAGAGCCUCUUACUGUCGAGGAAAGAAAUGAAAUCUAUGUGAAGGUUGCUGGAAUAUCAAAACAAGGUCGGGUGUUUGGACUUGGAUCACUUCAAUGUGGAGUUUAUAUGCCACUAGAUGGUUCUACAGUUUCACCACAAGCUGAUGAAGAUGAUGGUACUUUAACUCACCGAGUCAAAGAGCUGGAGUCAGACUUGCAAAAGAGUAAUGAAGAAAAGGUUCAGUUUCAGAAUAGGAUUCAAGCAAUCGAGAAAAUAUUGAUGUCUGCUUUUGGUGAAAAUGUGUUGACUCCAACAGAUACUACCACAGCCAUAUGAAGUUGUUUCUCAGUUUGGUGUUUUAGCUUGGUGUUUCUAUUUUGGUUUUCAUUUGGUUUUCUUUUGUUUACCAAGCAGUUUCAGUUUACUUAGUAAACGAAUUGUUGUUUUAUGCUUACGUUUAUUUAAAUAAAAUUCAAGCAGUUCUAUGAGAAAUUUAUGUAUAUCAUAUUAUUUGCAAAUUUGAUAUUUGAUUUCAGUUUUUAUUUAUAGUUUCUAGUGUUCCAAUAAUUUAAUAAUAAAUUAAAAA